GUCGAACGGUAACAGGAAGAAGCUUGCUUCUUUGCUGACGAGUGGCGGACGGGUGAGUAAUGUCUGGGAAACUGCCUGAUGGAGGGGGAUAACUACUGGAAACGGUAGCUAAUACCGCAUAACGUCGCAAGACCAAAGAGGGGGACCUUCGGGCCUCUUGCCAUCGGAUGUGCCCAGAUGGGAUUAGCUUGUUGGUGGGGUAACGGCUCACCAAGGCGACGAUCCCUAGCUGGUCUGAGAGGAUGACCAGCCACACUGGAACUGAGACACGGUCCAGACUCCUACGGGAGGCAGCAGUGGGGAAUAUUGCACAAUGGGCGCAAGCCUGAUGCAGCCAUGCCGCGUGUAUGAAGAAGGCCUUCGGGUUGUAAAGUACUUUCAGCGGGGAGGAAGGGAGUAAAGUUAAUACCUUUGCUCAUUGACGUUACCCGCAGAAGAAGCACCGGCUAACUCCGUGCCAGCAGCCGCGGUAAUACGGAGGGUGCAAGCGUUAAUCGGAAUUACUGGGCGUAAAGCGCACGCAGGCGGUUUGUUAAGUCAGAUGUGAAAUCCCCGGGCUCAACCUGGGAACUGCAUCUGAUACUGGCAAGCUUGAGUCUCGUAGAGGGGGGUAGAAUUCCAGGUGUAGCGGUGAAAUGCGUAGAGAUCUGGAGGAAUACCGGUGGCGAAGGCGGCCCCCUGGACGAAGACUGACGCUCAGGUGCGAAAGCGUGGGGAGCAAACAGGAUUAGAUACCCUGGUAGUCCACGCCGUAAACGAUGUCGACUUGGAGGUUGUGCCCUUGAGGCGUGGCUUCCGGAGCUAACGCGUUAAGUCGACCGCCUGGGGAGUACGGCCGCAAGGUUAAAACUCAAAUGAAUUGACGGGGGCCCGCACAAGCGGUGGAGCAUGUGGUUUAAUUCGAUGCAACGCGAAGAACCUUACCUGGUCUUGACAUCCACGGAAGUUUUCAGAGAUGAGAAUGUGCCUUCGGGAACCGUGAGACAGGUGCUGCAUGGCUGUCGUCAGCUCGUGUUGUGAAAUGUUGGGUUAAGUCCCGCAACGAGCGCAACCCUUAUCCUUUGUUGCCAG
rnacentral:rRNA from 1 species